rnacentral:rRNA from 1 species
AUUGAACGCUGGCGGCAUGCUUUACACAUGCAAGUCGAACGGCAGCGCGGGCUUCGGCCUGGCGGCGAGUGGCGAACGGGUGAGUAAUGCAUCGGAACGUGCCCAGUAGUGGGGGAUAGCCCGGCGAAAGCCGGAUUAAUACCGCAUACGACCUGAGGGUGAAAGCGGGGGACCGAAAGGCCUCGCGCUAUUGGAGCGGCCGAUGUCGGAUUAGCUAGUUGGUGGGGUAAAGGCUUACCAAGGCGACGAUCCGUAGCUGGUCUGAGAGGACGACCAGCCACACUGGGACUUAGACACGGCCCAGACUCCUACGGGAGGCAGGAGUGGGGAAUUUUGGACAAAGGGGGCAACCCUGAUCCAGCCAUGCCGCGUGCGGGAAGAAGGCCUUCGGGUUGUAAACCGCUUUUGUUCGGGAAGAAAUCCUCUGGGCUAAUACCCCGGGGGGAUGACGGUACCGGAAGAAUAAGCACCGGCUAACUACGUG